GUUAAAACUCAAAGGAAUUGACGGGGACCCGCACAAGCGGUGGAUGAUGUGGAUUAAUUCGAUGCAACGCGAAAAACCUUACCUACCCUUGACAUGUCCAGAAGCCCUUAGAGAUUUGGGUGUGCCCGAAAGGGAGCUGGAACACAGGUGCUGCAUGGCUGUCGUCAGCUCGUGUCGUGAGAUGUUGGGUUAAGUCCCGCAACGAGCGCAACCCUUGUCGUUAAUUGCCAUCAUUUAGUUGGGCACUUUAACGAGACUGCCGGUGACAAACCGGAGGAAGGUGGGGAUGACGUCAAGUCCUCAUGGCCCUUAUGGGUAGGGCUUCACACGUCAUACAAUGGUCGGUACAAAGGGUCGCCAACCCGCGAGGGGGAGCCAAUCCCAGAAAGCCGAUCGUAGUCCGGAUCGUAGGCUGCAACUCGCCUGCGUGAAGUCGGAAUCGCUAGUAAUCGUGGAUCAGCAUGUCACGGUGAAUACGUUCCCCGGGGUCUUGUACACACCG
rnacentral:rRNA from 1 species